GGAUGUGAGGGUGAUCUGGCUGAGACAUGUGUCACCCCAUUGAUUGCCAGGGUUGAUUAGGCUGAUCUGGUUAGGCAGUGUCUCCUUCUUCCCUCACUGCUUCAUGCGUGUCCCUCUCAAAGCUGUGCAUUCAGUCAAAGAGGACAACUAGCCCUGAUAGGAAAGGACUGUCCUUUGGUAUAUGAGUAAUAUACCUUUGAGUUUCUUUCAUACAUCAGCUAUAAAAGAUGUAUUUGCCAUUUGUAGAUUUCAUAAGUUU
rnacentral:snRNA from 1 species